GCGCGCUUUAACGCCAUGUUUAUAGCGCAAAUGACGUGACGUCAAAGUGUUAUUACACUAGUGUAAUAUCGUCUAGUGUAAUAUCGUUUUUAUUAAAUGGCUUUAUUACACUCCUGCGCCGCGGUUUAUGUGAUAAAUCUAAAUAUAGAACGUCAAGCAGUGACUUUAUAGCAUAAUAACACACUCUUUCGGUUCUUCUAUGUUCAAUAGGGUAUGUAAGUCUCGUCAUGUGACUUGCGAGAUUUCACGAUAUUUUGCACUUCCGGGUACAAACAAAUAUCAACAACAUUGCUUAUCUAUAUUGGGUAAUACUUGUAUGCCGGUGGGAAAGUAAAACUUACAUGGAAAAGCAAAUGAUAUGUGGAAAUUGGCAGAGUUUUUUGUUUUGUAACGAAAUGCAAAUGGUUUCAUCUUGUGAACAAGUAUCAAUGAAAGACAGCUUCGUAUAAUCUUCAGAUAUUUUGACUGAGGACAGUGGUGAGAUGAAAGACGUCAGUAUCCAUUGUAAAUACACAUGCAUGCUCUGCUGUAAAAUCGUUUUGGUAUGUGAUUUCAUGGUUGGAUCUUGAGUACUUGUCAUGGCUCUUGAUUUAUUUUGGAGUGUUCACCAUCAGAUUAGAAAUCAAAUAGUGAUACCACCAGGCAUAGUUGAAAGGAAAUGUCCAUACACAGUCUUGGAGUACAAAGUGGUAGAGACAUGGCAGUCCAUUACAUAUUUUGACUGAAUUAAAGCUUCUUAAAGCUCCAUGUCUUGUGUAAACUGUCUGACUGAAUGUUUGUAUUCUAAUAAAAACUAAGGUUGAAGACACUUCAAAGAUAUAUGUCAGUGUAAAAAUGUUAAACAAAAUAUCUGUCUUUGUUAGAAAUAAAUAACCUGUCUUUAUUAGAAAUAAAUAA